UUCAGUCCCUGGUGGGGAACUAAGAUCCUGCAUGCCAAGUGGAGUAGCCAAAAAAGAAAAAAAGGAAAGCUUCUGAGUGGAGGGCAGUAAUGAUUACAGGAAAAGAAAGGUUAAGGAACACGAGAAUACAUCAGUGAGUGAAUGAUUUGCUAUGCAAAUAUGAUGUGGAAUUCUUACUAAGUUGUAGGCAGCCUCUUGUCUAAACACUGUGAAGCUCCCCUGGCCCUUUGGUAGGAGAAGUUUGGCAUCAGAGGUAAUCACAAUAGAAAAAUAAAAAGAUAAAUCAGAUAGAUUUCUCCUAUCACUCAUCCAUUUACUUAUUCUACCAAUACCUACUGAGCUUCGUGGUUAAGAAUGUGAGCUCUAAGAGUCAAGGAAUCUGGGUUCAUCUCUGACCACCAAGAACCUGGUAAUAAAGAAAUAUCUCCGGCAUUUGACCAAAAAGAACCUCCCGGGAGUUCUUGCGGAGAUGGGUUAAAAUAACCCAGCACAAUGUAAAGAUAAUGCCUCCUACAGAGUGAUCCACACUCUGGAUCCGCGCUGUCACCCCCAAAGGUCUGGGUUCUAUUGGUCUGGGAACUAGUAUCCUCCGCUAAGCCGAGCGGUGCGGCCCAAAAAAAAAAAAAACGAGAAAUUUCAUCAUUAGACGGAGGGGUACGGCAGUGAAUUACCCCAGACUCCUCGGGGUCCACGGAAUGAUUACAAAGAGCCUCCUGCGCGAUCUUUACUCAGAGAGCGGAACGCAUCACUGCCUCCACGGCCCGAGAGCCACAGAGAAAUACAAGUCCCAGGAGGCCGUGCGGGGAGCAGCCCUCUUCGAUGAGGACUCUGCGCCCCGGAGGAUGCUGGGAGUUGUAGUCCCACACUCCGGCCGGCUGGCCUACUCCGUCUCACCUGGAAAUUGCCCACUAUGGAGGUGCCCAAGGCACAGAGGAGCCCCGUCCACAGGAUCACCUGAGCGUUUACCCGAAGCGGCUCCGAAGUUGAGCACCUGGCUGAAGAUGCAGCUCUGGGGAGGCGCGUUUCCACACACACUGGGGGAAGAUAAAGGCUCACCUCCUUGCUCCCUCCCGACCCCGGCCUCCCCGCCGGCGCCGUGACUACCUGAUGUACGGGAAGCCUUCGAUCCCACAUGCUGCCGGGGACAAAACCCACGUGUGUGCCACAACUCCUGAGCCUGCUGCAACUACUGAAGCCCAAGCGCCCAGAGCCGGCGCUGUGCAGCCAGAGCAGCCACCAUAAAGAGUCGCCCGGCUCACCGCAGCUAGAGGAAGCCUGCGGACAGCAGCGAAGACCCAGCACAGCCUGACAUAACCCCUGCGGUCUAGCGUCCCUGCUGUUACCUCCUUGGGGCCGAGAACCCAGAUCUACAGGGGCCCGCUCUGCCGGGUGCCGUUUCUGUGUGGACCUGGUGCCUGGAUCCUGCCCACACUGGCCUCCCUGUUCCCCACAGCCAGGGGAACAGCUCUCCGCUUCCUGGCUUCCUCCCUUCUCACUACUCAGGUGCCUGGGCCCCGGCCCCCCUCCUGCGUCCCCAGGACCCGAGAGUCCAGGCCCCCGGCCCAUCCACCCUCAGCCACAGGGAGUGUCUCUCCCUGAGACCCAGAAGUGCCAGCCACCCGCUCCCUCAGCUCCCCACCUCUUUUGAUAUUUUUAUAAUUGAAAUAAA